rnacentral:tRNA from 1 species
GGAGUUGUAGCUCAGUGGUAGAGCGCUUGCCUUGAAUGCAUAAGACCCUGGGUUCAAUCCCCAGCACCA